UACGUAGGGUGCAAGCGUUGUCCGGAAUCAUUGGGCGUAAAGAGCGUGUAGGCGGCCUCGUAAGUCCGCUGUGAAAGUCCAGGGCUCAACCCUGGGAUGCCGGUGGAUACUGCGAGGCUAGAGUCCGGAAGGGGCGAGUGGAAUUCCUGGUGUAGCGGUGAAAUGCGCAGAUAUCAGGAGGAACACCGGUGGCGAAGGCGGGUCUCUGGGCAGUAACUGACGCUGAGGAGCGAAAGCGUGGGGAGCGAACAGG
rnacentral:rRNA from 1 species